rnacentral:tRNA from 1 species
GGCCUUAUCGUCUAAUGGUUAGGACAUCACCCUCUCACGGUGGGAAUCGGGGUUCGAAUCCCCGUAAGGUCA